rnacentral:lncRNA from 1 species
UCUUUGAAGGAGACUGAAAGAAUUUUGUAAAAAACUUAAUGAAUUGGCUUUUCGGAGCGGAAGUCCGGUUAUUUUUGGUCCUCCCUCAUAUAUAUCAUUCUUGUGGCCUACACAGGCAGGAGGUUUAUGUAGGGAAUACUAUGAGAUCUCUUAAACUUGGAUUAACAGAACAUAAAAGAAAUAUAGAAAAAGCAGAAUUUAAAAUAGCAUUAGUGAAAACUUUUUAUCAAAAUAAUAUAGAAACCUAUUGGGAUAGAGCAAAAAUCAUUAGAACAGUAAAAUCAGUAGAUGAAAUUAAAUGAACAGAAACAUUUAGAAAUUAUGAAAUAUUCUCAAAGAAUGCACAUAAUAAAUGGUAAUUUACCAGAAAUAAUCCCUGCACCACAGUCUUCAAACAUGCAGC